CCGCCGCAGCCCUCACUCGGGGAGCGCGGCCCCCUCGGCGCGCAGCGAGCCUCCUCCGGUUGGAAAACUCAGCAGCUGUUUUAACAAUUGAAAAGCGGCCCUACAGGACCAGUGAGAGACGGAGCAGAGUGUGUGAAGCCAUUAAGGCUGACUAGAUGAAAUGAGCUGGUCCUACACUGAGAAGACAGGAGGGAUCUUGUCUAAUCCACUGUGUUGGAAAGCUCCUGAAAGAUCCUAAAGAGACAGGAAAUACAGGAGAGCAAUGCGUGGUGAACCCCACAGCCUGGAAGAAAGGAGGCUGAGAUGAGGAAGUGGCCCCUUGACAUCUGGUAUGGUGGUGUCUCUCACACUGUCACUUCUGUCUCAUUCUAUUGAUCAAAGCACCUCACAAAGCCAGGGUGGAGUCAAGAAGUGAGGGAGUAGACUCCAUUCCUUGAUGGGAGGAGCUGUAAGGAAUUUGUGGCCAUUUUCAGUCCACCUUGACUCAUAUAAUCACAGGCUCAAAAACUCAACAGAGAGUCAUCAACAGAAUUCAAAAGGGCUGACAUUAAUAUAGAAAGUCAUUUUCAUGGUUUUUUUUUUUUGAGACAUAUAUGUUUGGCGUUGCAUUUUACAGAAUUAGGUCAGGUAGGAGAGGAAUAGGUAGAGGGACAGUUUUAUUCUAACUCUUGCUUUUAUUUAUUUUUUUAUUUGGGAUGCCAGUUCUGGUAGAUCCAAUUUGACAUAAAUACACAUGCUCACGUAAACACCCCCGCCGCCCCAGGUCUAUUGCAGGUUUCUUGCACUAUCUUAGUUCCACUACACUAGAAAAUCAUUUUUAUGAUAUGAAUGGGAAGAACCAACUUAAUUUAUUUUACCUAAAAGUAAACACAAAAUGUCUUGUUUUUAUAUGACAUCUUUCUGUGGGCGCUACACUGAACUCAAGCAUUUAAAGGUCAAAAGAAAAUCAUUUAAGGUAGAAGAAUAGUUCUACUUCGCGUGGAGAUGGAGAAAGAAUUUUAUAUUCCACUUAAUUCUUCACUAAGAGGCCUAUCGUGUUUUAUUGAAUACUUCUAGAAUAUUGUUGUUACCUCGAAAGUAUAGAAGAGAAUAAUCUAUACAUCCUAUUGACCAAUAUUUAAGAAGCAGUGGAAAGUUCGCAAAUCUUCCUAAAACAAUGAGAAAACGUUCAUUUUUACUACCUCAUUGCCUAGCAAUGCUUGGAAAUGAUUCUUUUCCUGAAGUCUAAACAUGUCAGAGGCCCUCCCUUUUUAUUAAUUAAUUAAUUAAUUAAUUAUUUAUUAUGAUAGACAUAGAGAGAGAGAGAGGCAGAGACACAGGAGGAGGGAGAAGCAGGCUCCAUGCAGGGAGCCUGUGUGGGACUCGAACCCGGGACUCCAGGAUCACGCCCUGGGCUGAAGGCAGGGCUAUACCGCUGAGCCACCCAGGGAUCCCCAGAGGACCCCUUUUGAAUAUACAAAUGUGCAUGUUGCAGAUGUAAUAUAUAUCAUUUUGUGCCUGGUAUGAAGCUCUUCUCGCUCCAUUUUGUACUCACCUCCCAGCCCCUCCCCUGCUUUGUAGGGUUGAGAUGGGACCCUGCGCAACCCACUUCUGCUUUGCAGGCUGCUGGGGUCAGGUUUCCCCCGGGGGGUGAGGGCAGGCAGGGUGCCAGGCUGUAGGGAGAGAAGGAACACCUCCCUCCGCAGUGCUUCUGCCCUUGGCAGUGGCAGGAUUUUGCAGCAGCUGCAGAGGGGCCCAGGCAGCGUCAUGACACCCUCUCAGGGACACGCUGCGGGCCUUUGGAGGGUGGGGGUCGGGGUUCGGUCGGGGUUCCCAGGCCAGUGGGGCCCCCUCUGAGACGGCAGCAUGAGCCCGAUGGGGCCUCCCUUCCGCCAAUUCCUCCAGGCUUCUGCUCCUGCCUCCCACCUUUAACAAUCCCACCUCCCCUCUGGGGUGCGGUGGGAACCACUACUUUCUCCCCUACUACCUCGGUGAGACCUCAGUGCACCCCCCCUUUUUUGCCCCUCCUGUGCCCUUUCCAAUUUCAUGCUUGGUUAUAUUGAAUCCUGUUUUUAAAAAACAGAUCUGAUUUCUUUAUAGAUCUUGGAUGCUAGCUAGCCCUUUAUCUGAUUUCUGUUUUCUGAUGGAUCCCGACUGAUACACAGUUUCUUUUCCUUUCCUUUCCUUUUUUUAAAGAUUUUUAUUUAUUUGCUUAUGAGGGGCAGAGACAUAGGCAGAGGAAAAGCAGGCUCCUUGUGGGGAGCCCCAUGUGGGACUCGAUCCGAGGACCCCGGCCGGGAUCAUGACCUGAGCCAAAGGCAGACGCUCAACCACUGAGCCACCCAGGUGCCCCGUUACAUUGUUUCUUGUGUGAAAAGAAAUUUGAAUUUUUACAUUGGCUCCAUUCUUUUUUUUAAGAUUUUAUUUAUUUAUUUAUGAGAGACACAGAAAGAGAGGCAGAGAUAUAGUCAGAGGGAGGAGAAGCAGGCUCUCAUGCAAGGAGCCCGAUGUGGGGUGGCACUCGAUCCUGGGAAUCCGGUGUCAGGCCCUGAGCCCAAGGCCGAUGUUCAACCGCUGAGCCACUCAGGCGUCCCAUGCUGGCUCCAUUCUUACUAAAGGAAUUUUGUUCAUAGGGCAGCUAACCUAGAUGAUGAAGUGACAAUAUAAUGGUAAUCUUGAUCCUUCGAGGCACGAUCUUUGAAGUUCAGGAUGUACCUCCCAGAAGGCUUUAAAGAAUACAAUCUUGAAGAAGUUUCAGGGCUUACCACAUUCGGAGUAGUUGAAGAUUAGCGAGACUCUCUGAUAUGGAAGCUACAGAAUGUAACGCAGACUUCUCACCUAAAAAUUCGAAAGCGCUCUGUCCCACGGACCCUGCAAUCCAUCUGAGCCAUAACCUUGUGAGUCCAGUAGGAUGUAAAUAUAAUAGACGUGUCAGCCAAAGAUUCAGAUUGCUUCAGGUAUACUUGUUUCAAGCUAACAUAGGGGAAAAUCCAAAGAAGUCAUUUUAAAUACAUCUAAACUAAGCAAGCCUUGUAGAAGAAAACAAAAACAAUUGAUUGCCCAUGGAUCGCAGCUUUGGUUGGAAUGUGUGAGCAUAGGGACCAUUUAAGUUGUUAUGGUUCUGAGCAGAAGAUGUAGCAACUUCAGGCUUCAUGGGGUCCUGGGUUCCCUGCGGCAUUGCGUGCUGAGAAUGAUGGUCUUUUCAGACUUGUGACAGAAUUUUUCUCAGUGACCAAGUGACUCUUGGUAGUAAAUACGGUUAAGAGAGCAAGUAGGCCAACUGUAAGUGUCAGCUCUGGUGUUGCUGGCUUCCAGGGUGUUAAGUGGAACCGUAGGCUGGAGGAAGGCCUGGGGGGCAGUUGAAGAGUUAUUAAAAGGUAUGUAAUAAAUUUCUUAUAAACAUAAUAUCUGUAGGAAUAUAAACUAAAAACUGAUGAUGCCUGUCCUGAAUGAGGGAUCUGAGUGGCUGGAAAGAAGACUGGGAGAGGACUUGCCUGUUACUGUGCAUUUGUAUUUUUUGAAUUAGAUGCAAAGUUUAUAUAUUACCUAUUAAAAAUUAAAAAAGAUGUUUAAUCCAUAUUUGUAUUGUUCUGUACAGUUUCCAGAUGGCUCCAACUUCUAUGAGUCUCUCUGCUCCCACAGAAAGCCUGUGAGGUACAUGUGGCCGGAUUCUCCUCAUCUUAUGCAUGUGAAAACUGAGAAUGCAAAUGUCUGACUUCCUCAGGGUCAUGCAAUCAGUUAAAGCUUAGGUUAAAAACCAGGGUUUCUUGCUCCAAAUUGUUCUUUCCAUCAUAUUGCACUGCCUUAGGUGUGCAAAGGAUUACAAAACAGAUUGGGCGGAAAAAAAAAAUCUGCCUUUUACAAACCAGUUUACAGGCCAAACUUGGGGCCAUGUAUCCCUCGAUGCCUGCUGGGAAGACUUCCUGUAGCCACAGUAAUGUACAGACCAGAAAGCAGAUAAAAGCUCCAUGCUAUGUGCAUUAAACUGAUGAUAUUUAAUUUGUUGGUUAAACAUUAACUGAUAAUCAUAAUGAUAUCCCUCCUUUACCAGUUCAGGGUUGAGGAUCUUACAUGCAUUAUUUGCAGUCUUAGCCAAGGUAUUACAAAUAGCUCUUCUCCCCAUUUUGUAGUUGGGGUAAUUGAGAUACAAAAAAGUCACAUCACCAACAUAUGAGGUUAAAAAAAAUUAUAAGGCUAGGAUUUGUCUUCAGUUCAUCUUUCCCAAAGUCCAUUCCGUUUUCAUAGCGCCAGGCUAGUUGCUUUUGUGGAUACAUAGGUAAGUAAUGGAACAACUAUCUUAAACAUAGAAGUGUUGUUGUGGAGAAGAGUAGAAGGUAGAGCAGAGAAAAGACAAGUUGGUAAACCCAAGUAUGAUAAAAGGAGUCCGAGCAAAGUGCCAUAAGGAGGAAGCAAUCUCCGUCUCCUUUGUGUGAGUUGGACAGGGCUUCAUGAUAGACUGAGGAUGUGAAAUAAACACUGAAGAACUACUGAGAAAUUGAAAUAUGGAGGGGACUUGGAGUCAUGAAUAGGAGGAACGUGACGCAUUGCAGAUGAAAUGUGUGAAUGUUUUUAUGGCUGGCCAGUGCCUGAAACAUAAACUAUGUUAAUAAAAAGAAAAAUUUGUCUGCUGGUUUCCCAAGGUCAGGUCCCUAAGCUGCAGGAGUCAUAGCUGAGAUGCUGGAGACCAAACCCCCUCAGGAGAAAAUACUUACUUACAUACAUAGGUAUAUAAUUUUUAAAAUGUUGAAAUGCAUAUAAGGUGACAAAGAAGGCAAAGAAAGUUUGAGAGCCCCUCUCCCCCAACUGUCUAUCAUAUCUGUCUUGGAUGAGCUAGGAGCUAUAGUAAUCUCUUAUUGAGGUAAUUCCUUAGUGCUUGAUUGUGAUCAAAACAAAACAAGAUAACCCCUAACACUAUUAAGGCCCAUAAGAAUGCCCAAGUCAUGCUUUGCUAUGUCAGCCGGCUCUCUUCAAGCUCAGGGACAACGGCAGAAUCCAGAAUUCCUGUUGCCAAAUAUCCACUUCCCUUAAUUUAGAAUAGCUUGAGUAGCUUUCCAACUCUGCUUUUUAGAUAGCUUGGACCUUUGAAAAGACUUCAGGGAUUCCACAAGGAAGUUUUAAAUUGCCUGAAAAACUCAUCCACUGAUUUUAUUUUAUUUUAUUUUAUUUUAUUUUAUUUUAUUUUAUUUUAUUUUAUUCUAUUUAUUAUUAUUAUUUUUUUUUUUACUGUGGUUCCAGAUAAGAUUUUAUUGUUAGUAGUAAUAGUAUUUCUUUAUAGACCCAGCUAGGCAACAUAUGUCCUUGAAAUACAUUCUCAAUGUUGCAAGACUUAGAAAUUCUGGGCCAGGUGGAGGGCAGUCACACGAAGUGCAAAUGAAGGGAAAUGAAGGUGGUCAGCAACAACACAGUGUAAUGGAACAAGCCCUGUAUUGGAAGCUGUGACAGUGGUUUCCACUAUGAUCCUACUAACAAGAUGGGGGAUUUGCUCUUAUGUGAUGGAGUGACCUGAACAAUGAAAUCUGACCUCUUGGGACUCCCUUUUCCUUAUCUAUACAGUGAAAGGAUUGAGAAAGAUGGCUGUCUCUUGUCCAGCUAUUGCCAGUUUGGUACUGAAUACUUUCUAGGAUUAAAGAACACUGUUAUUUAUUUAUUUUUUUUAUCCAGUUAGCUAUUUUAGACAGUUAAAAAUGUUCAUUUCAUGUGAAUCUAUAAACUGAAUUGAAGAAUUCACUUUAAUUUGUGAAUGACUAGAAUUGUCCAGCACAAAGUAAAGUGAUUUUUCCAGUAAUUCAAUAUAACCUGUAUUAAUUGCUUCUUCAAUACAAAUGUUACAAUGUAUAAGUAUAUACACAGGCUGGCUUUAAAUUUAUGGAAUAUACAGACUGUCUCCUAGCCAAUUCAUUUAUUUUGAUCCUCUUAAAGGUCGUUGUUGAUUACGAUAAGAUGACCCGAAUGUUAUGACAUGGUAACCUGUGUAGACUUGCCCAUCUGUGUAUUGUCAAAAUACAAUUUGAUAGAAUUGCCUACUAUUCCAUGAUAGAGCUUAUGUGUUAUGACCAUGUGGUCAACUUCUUAAAUGAAAUCACUAUUGUUUACAGUUAGUUACAUGGCAAAAACAAACCACCACCAACAGAAAAACAAAACAAAACAAAACAAAAA
rnacentral:lncRNA from 1 species